UACGGAGGGUGCAAGCGUUAUCCGGAUUCACUGGGUUUAAAGGGUGCGUAGGUGGGCAGGUAAGUCAGUGGUGAAAUCUCCGGGCUUAACCCGGAAACUGCCGUUGAUACUAUUUGUCCUGAAUAUUGUGGAGGUAAGCGGAAUAUGUCAUGUAGCGGUGAAAUGCUUAGAUAUGACAUAGAACACCAAUUGCGAAGGCAGCUUACUACACAAUGAUUGACACUGAGGCACGAAAGCGUGGGGAUCAAACAGG
rnacentral:rRNA from 1 species